rnacentral:misc_RNA from 1 species
AAUGUUAUUGUGCUCAAUGGUAGCAGUGGAUCUCCCGAGUCAUUGCCAGAUGUAUUGUCUAUUGUGUAAGCGAAAGGUGCCCUACUAAGCAAUCUUUGCCCAUGUGUUGCUUGUACUGCAUGGUUAAAGUUGGCAAUAUAGUUGUAGUCUGCAUUGUUAAAAUGACUACUCCGCAGUGGAAUUGCGCCGUUGAUUUAUUGCUGGCUGGUUUUGAAGGCUGUACUCAUAUCACCAU